UGGAGGACAGGGACAUAGCCCACAGGCCAAGACUGGGAACUAAGGAAGGAAAGGAGGUGUUCUGGUAGAUUGGGUCACGCAACUCAAGGGUCUGCGUGGCCUGAAGAAAGUCAAACAGGAUCAGAGCCUGGAUGCCAAUGAGCAUAGCAAGGACCGCACCUGCCAGGGAUUCAUCAUUUGUUGGCAGCCCUUGGUGGGAAGAGGAUGGCUUGGGCUCUGAGAGUCAAAGAAGUGGAGAUGGGGCCUGUGCUUCUCCUUGUCCUGCUCCUGCUUCUCCAGCACCAGGGACCAGUCUUCCUCCUUCACCAGCUGGACACUCACCAGACAAGUGCGAGUAAAACUGCACCUGAUGGCCUGGGAAGAAUAGCAGGAGUGACAUUGUUCCAUUCUCCAUGCCUCCUGUAGAAGCACCGGCACCAGUAUAAUUCCCAACAUCUUCUCUUCUGUAGUCACAUAGGCUGGUGGCAGGGGUUAGUGUUUUGUAGAAUCAUUGUGAAGAUUAAGAAAG